UCGCCUUUGCAGACGUACAGCUGGACACACUGCUGCCUCAUCAGGGCUCAUAACAUCAGAUCUUAAAGUUCAGAGAAUGGUGAGUGCCA